GCAAGUCGAACGAACGAACCCGAAGCUUGCUUCGGGCUAGUGAGUGGCAAACGGGUGAGUAACACGUGGGAAUCUACCCGUCAGUACGGAAUAACCCUUGGAAACAAGAGCUAAUACCGUAUAUUCUCUUCGGAGGAAAGAUUUAUCGCUGACGGAUGAGCCCGCGCAAGAUUAGGUAGUUGGUAGGGUAAUGGCCUACCAAGCCAACGAUCUUUAGCUGGUCUGAGAGGAUGAUC
rnacentral:rRNA from 1 species